rnacentral:rRNA from 1 species
GACGAACGCUGGCGGCGCGCCUAACACAUGCGAGUCGAACGGAGUCACGAGGAGCUUGCUUUUCUUGACUUAGUGGCGAACGGGUGAGUAACGCGUGAGUAACCUGCCCUGGAGUGGGGGACAACAGUUGGAAACGACUGCUAAUACCGCAUAAGCCCACGGAUCCGCAUGGAUCUGCGGGAAAAGGAUUUAUUCGCUUCAGGAUGGACUCGCGUCCAAUUAGCUAGUUGGUGAGGUAACGGCCCACCAAGGCGACGAUUGGUAGCCGGACUGAGAGGUUGAACGGCCACAUUGGGACUGAGACACGGCCCAGACUCCUACGGGAGGCAGCAGUGGGGGAUAUUGCACAAUGGGGGAAACCCUGAUGCAGCGACGCCGCGUGGAGGAAGAAGGUUUUCGGAUUGUAAACUCCUGUCGUUAGGGACGAUAAUGACGGUACCUAACAAGAAAGCACCGGCUAACUACGUG